AUUGAACGCUGGCGGCAGGCCUAACACAUGCAAGUCGAGCGCCGCGGGGGACGGGGGAGUGAUGCCUAGUAAUUAGCCUGGUGGUGGGGGAUCACGUCGGGGAAGGGGCGCCAAUAAAGCAUACGUGCAGAGCAGCCUAGGGCGGAGUAGCUAGUUGGUGGGGUAAAGGCUUACCUAGGCGACGAGCCGUAGCUGGUCUGAGAGGAGGAUCAGUCACACUGGAACUGAGACACGGUCCAGACUCCUACGGGAGGCAGCAGGGGGGAAUAUUGGGCAAUGGACGAAAGCCUGACCGAGCCAUGCCGCGUGAGUGAAGAAGGUCUUCGGAUUGUAAAGCACUGUAGGUUGAGAGGCGUUACCAACAGAAAAAGCACCGGCUAACUACGUGCCAGCAGCCGCGGUAAUUC
rnacentral:rRNA from 1 species